rnacentral:sRNA from 1 species
UUCUCCGAUGUCUGAAAAUGGCUAAUCUUUUGGUUUAGCAAUCACUAAAUCAUGAGUACAAGCCAGAUUUAACGCACGAUCGCGCUGAAAAAUCGACAGAUAUUCCCUUAUUAAGUCACGAACAUAUUCACUCAAACGA